UACGGGGGGGGCAAGCGUUGUUCGGAAUUACUGGGCGUAAAGGGCGCGUAGGCGGCCUGUUAAGUCGAACGUGAAAUCCCCGGGCUCAACCCGGGAACUGCGUCCGAUACUGGCAGGCUUGAAUCCGGGAGAGGGAUGCGGAAUUCCAGGUGUAGCGGUGAAAUGCGUAGAUAUCUGGAGGAACACCGGUGGCGAAGGCGCCGCUCUGGGCCGAAACUGACGCUGAGGAGCGAAAGCAUGGGUAGCAAACAGG
rnacentral:rRNA from 1 species